UGACGAGCGAAUACCGGAUAGCGGCCAGUUUCGCUGAAACAUUACCCCGCUACCAGACAGUUCUGUGCUUGACGGAGCAUCCCCUAACGACAAACACUCCCAUUUCGGUAAGCCUAGCAUAAGUGUACAUUUUUUUAUGUUUUUUGUGCCUUACCCAAUAAAUCUACCCCUAGAUUCCUUGAAAAAGGCCCAAAACGGGUCGAAACGUCGGAUGAAGAGAA